rnacentral:rRNA from 1 species
GGGAGGCAGCAGUGGGGAAUAUUGGACAAUGGGCGAAAGCCUGAUCCAGCCAUGCCGCGUGUGUGAAGAAGGUCUUCGGAUUGUAAAGCACUUUAAGUUGGGAGGAAGGGCAGUAAGUUAAUACCUUGCUGUUUUGACGUUACCGACAGAAUAAGCACCGGCUAACUUCGUGCCAGCAGCCGCGGUAAUACGAAGGGUGCAAGCGUUAAUCGGAAUU